GCGGCCCCGGCUCCUCCUCCUCCGCCGCCGCCGUGCCCCUCCCCCGCGCGGCGCCACCUCCGCGCUCCCGGCCGCGGCCGUCCCGGUCCCGCCGCCCAUGCUGCCGGGGCCUGAGCGGCGGCCCUACGGCCUCAUGGGGCGUCCGCCGCCUCCGGUUCCCAGUAGCUGCGGGUAGGAAGCGGGGCCGCCGGGCCCCACUGCCCGCACCCCGGCCCUCGGCUCUUCGCGCGGCGAACUCCCCGGGCGGGCGGCGCAGAGACGAGACCCGAACUCGGAACCCUGGGCCUGAGUAGGGAAGGGCUUGAGAGUCGCUCGGAGCCCAGUCUCGGCUGGAUCCUGGGGGAGCUGGCCCUCUCCUCCCCCCACUUCCCACUCCUGAGCCGUGAGUUUGGGCAUGACCGGGGUUUCACAUGCGACUGUAUUUUACUACAAUUCUGCUGCUAAAAAGAAUUUGGAAGCCACUCUCCUUGAGACUCCUCUGGAGAGAACAGCCCUCUGAAGAGUCCCAAGCUUGCCUCAUCUGGUGACUGCUACCCAACUCCUUCCUUUCUGUCACUGGAACAAGUCCUGUAUUGUUCUUUAUCACUCCCAAGGGUUUAUCUGAGGCCUUAAGGCUGGAGGGAGCGAAAGCACCUGGAGCCCAGGUCCCCUGACUUAGGAGCCCAAGGGCCUCUGGAUCAGUUUAUUAGUUCUAACAGCAGUCCAUAGGUCAGGGGGGACCACGUGAGGCGACAAGAGGGAGGGAGGACGACUGGUGGGGAGGAGCAGGCCGAUGGGUAAGGCCUGAUGGAGGAAGGGACUAUGAAGGGGUACCCACCUUCCUAGCAGGGGUCCAGGAAGAAGGGUGCAGCCAGCCAGACCUCUUUAUCCUUGGACUUGGGGCUAAUCUGGGAGGCUCCCAAGAGCAACCCUAGGCCUAUAGUUAAAUCCACCCGGUCAACGUCACUUGGGCACUCCCAGUGUCCUGCUGGAAUGCUUUUGGGGGUCUCUUUCUCUCAAAGCCUCUUCCCCACUUUCAGGCUCCUCAAACAAAGCCUUCGGCAGCAGCACCCACACCUGGUUUUCAUCAAAAUGUCUACACCACAUCCAUACAUGCAAAGAAGGGCACAUAACAAAAUAUAAUUGUUUUCUCUGAAAGGGUGGGAUUUGCGAGCUUUUUGUUUUCUUCUUGCUUACCCGCAUUUUCAGGAAUGUUUACAAUCUCUUUUGUAAUAAAAUAAUUAAACCUCAGCAUCAUGCAAAAUUGAA